GUACCCGUACCGCAAACCGACACAGGUGGGUGAGGAGAGUAUCCUAAGGCCAGCGAGAGAACUGUUGUUAAGGAACUCGGCAAAAUGACCCCGUAACUUAGGGAUAAGGGGUGCCACCAUCAGGUGGCCGCAGAGAAUAGGCCCAAGCGACUGUUUACCAAAAACAUAGGUUUCUGCUAAGUCGCAAGACGAUGUAUAGGAGCUGACGCCUGCCCGGUGCUGGAAGGUUAAGGGGAUCUGUUAGAGUAAUCGAAGCAGUGAACUUAAGCCCCAGUAAACGGCGGCCGUAACUAUAACGGUCCUAAGGUAGCGAAAUUCCUUGUCGGGUAAGUUCCGACCCGCACGAAAGGCGUAACGAUUUGGGCACUGUC
rnacentral:rRNA from 1 species